rnacentral:piRNA from 1 species
UAUCUGAUAUCUUCUAGAGGUUUUCUAAC